rnacentral:antisense_RNA from 1 species
CUUCAGCGAGCCGAGCCACAGCGGACGGUCCUCGGGCCGGUUCUGGCCGUAGGUCGCCAGCAGCGCCUCGGCCUC